rnacentral:rRNA from 1 species
GUCCGUAGGCGGCUUAAUAAGUCAGUGGUGAAAUCCCUACGCUUAACGUAGGAACGGCCAUUGAUACUGUUAGGCUUGAAUUAUUAGGAAGUAACUAGAAUAUGUAGUGUAGCGGUGAAAUGCUUAGAGAUUACAUGGAAUACCAAUUGCGAAGGCAGGUUACUACUAAUGGAUUGACGCUGAUGGACGAAAGCGUGGGUAGCGAACAGGAUUAGAUACCCUGGUAGUCCACGCCGUAAACGAUGGAUACUAGCUGUUGGGAGCAAUCUCAGUGGCUAAGCGAAAGUGAUAAGUAUCCCACCUGGGGAGUACGUUCGCAAGAAUGAAACUCAAAGGAAUUGACGGGGGCCCGCACAAGCGGUGGAGCAUGUGGUUUAAUUCGAUGAUACGCGAGGAACCUUACCAAGGCUUAAAUGUAGAUUGACCGAUUUGGAAACAGAUUUUUCGCAAGACAAUUUACAAGGUGCUGCAUGGUUGUCGUCAGCUCGUGCCGUGAGGUGUCAGGUUAAGUCCUAUAACGAGCGCAACCCCUGUUGUUAGUUGCCAGCGAGUCAAGUCGGGAACUCUAACAAGACUGCCAGUGCAAACUGUGAGGAAGGUGGGGAUGACGUCAAAUCAUCACGGCCCUUACGCCUUGGGCUACACACGUGCUACAAUGGACGGUACAGAGAGCAGCCACUACGUGAGUAGGAGCGAAUCUACA